rnacentral:pre_miRNA from 1 species
GGCCUGCCCGACACUCUUUCCCUGUUGCACUACUGUGGGCCACUGGGAAGCAGUGCAAUGAUGAAAGGGCAUCGGUCGGGUC